rnacentral:rRNA from 1 species
UACGUAGGCAGCAAGCGUUGUUCGGAAUUACUGGGCGUAAAGAGUGUGUAGGCGGUGCUCUAAGUCUGUUGUGAAAUCUCCCGGCUUAACCGGGAGGGUGCGGCGGAAACUGGAGUGCUUGAGGGUGGGAGAGGUAAGCGGAAUUCCUGGUGUAGCGGUGAAAUGCGCAGAUAUCAGGAGGAACACCAAUGGCGAAGGCAGCUCGCUGGGACGUGACUGACGCUGAGACGCGAAAGCGUGGGGAGCAAACAGG